AGUUGAUCAUGGCUCAGGAUGAACGCUAGCGACAGGCUUAACACAUGCAAGUCGAGGGCAGCAUAAAAGUAGCAAUACUUGGUGGCGACCGGCGCACGGGUGAGUAACGCGUAUCGCAACCUACCUAUCAGAGGGGAAUAACCCGGCGAAAGUCGGACUAAUACCGCAUAAAACAGGGACACCGCAUGGUGAUAUUUGUUAAAGAAAUUCGCUGAUAGAUGGGCAUGCGUUCCAUUAGGUAGUCGGUGAGGUAACGGCUCACCAAGCCGACGAUGGAUAGGGGAACUGAGAGGUUGGUCCCCCACACUGGUACUGAGACACGGACCAGACUCCUACGGGAGGCAGCAGUGAGGAAUAUUGGUCAAUGGGCGAGAGCCUGAACCAGCCAAGUCGCGUGAAAGGAAGAAGGAUCUAUGGUUCGUAAACUUCUUUUGCAGGGGAAUAAAGUGCAGGACGUGUCCUGUUUUGUAUGUACCCUGAGAAUAAGGAUCGGCUAACUCCGUGCCAGCCGCAGC
rnacentral:rRNA from 1 species